UAGUACAAAUCUAGAGCAUCAAGUAAACAGCUCUAAUGAUCUGCUAAAUUGGCCAACAAUAACUUCUUAUUUCGAACAACUAAAAUCAAGCGAUUCAAAUUUAAUCAAAAAUAAUUUGAUCUUUAAAUGCAUUUUGUGUGGUCCAAAAGAUAAACAAAUUUCUACUUCUAAAUCAUCAAAUUAAAAUCUUAGAACACAUAUUAAAAUUAAGCAUCCAAAUUAUUUGACAGAAUUUAACAAUUGUGUGUAAAAGAGACCAACAGAUUCUACAUCAAUAUCACUUAUACAACUGAAAUUAAGUGAAGUUGGUAAAUUUCAACCAACGAAAAAGUUAGAUCAAGCUGAGUUUAAUAAGGCAAAUUUAAAACUUAUAAUUAAUACAGUGUCACCUUUUACAUCCAAGUUACAUCAAAUAAAGUGCCUGUAUCGCGGAGAAACUUAAUAGUGAUGUUGAAUAUUUAUACAAUAAAAUGGUCAAUGAACUAGAUACAAUUAAAUACGGAUGUAUUACAGCAGACUGCUGGAGCAUAUUCCACAAAUCAUACAUAGGAUUUACUAUCCAUUGGAUUAAUCCUCAAACGUUGGAAAGAUGUUUGAAAGGAUUUGCAUGUAGAUAAAUGAGAGGAAGACAUACACAUAUGCCAAUAUUGCUGAAUCUAUAGACAAAGUACUCGACGAAUUUAAAAUUCAGAAUAAAACAACAUUAAUAGUCACUGACAAUGCAGCAA